GCCGCACCUCUCGCUGCGCCGCCGGCCGCCGCGCCUCCUGCUGCCGCCUGUUGCACCCGCACAGCGCCGCCGCCGCACCUGCUGCCCGCGCCGCGCGCCUGUGCCGGCCGUCGCCGCUGCUGCGUGCGCCGGUCCGCCGCCGUCGAGCCGAGCUGCCGCUGCCGCUCCUGCGUGCCACUGCCGCGCGCCGUCGUGGUGCUGUGCAAGCCGGCUGCUGUGCCUCUGUGCUAGCAGCUGAGUCAAACAAGCAAGAAAGCCAGUGCAACGCCGAAGGAGAAGCCAGGAAGAGAAGCUAGGGAAGAAGAAAGGAAGAAAGAGAAAAGAAAAGAAAAGAGAAGAAAAAGAAAAAGAGAAAAGGAAAAAAAAAGAGAAAAAUGGAAAAGUUGGAAAUUUCAGAAUUUUGUUGGAUUCGCCGUCAAUCCUUCGAAGGCGAUUUCUCGGUGGUGUGACCUCUCGUCACGACUAGCGCCCGGCUUCAUCGUCGAUAAAGGCAAGUGAAUAUAUUGUAUGACUACGCUUUAACCUAUUAUUGGGUUGCCUACAUUCUUUAAUUACAAUGCAUUCAUCUGAUCUGAAUAACUGAUUAUGAGCUGGUUAAUAUGUUGUUUACUUUUCCAGAAGUUUACUCGAUGAUUGAUUUAUGAAGUGCAGUUCCUUUUGAGGUGUCAAACGCUUGCGGGAUGGGUAGCUACACGUCGCCUACGCGUUCCCCUUUUUUUGGGCUAAAAUUGAUGCCCUGCCAGAUAUUAUCUUUUGCCCUGUAAUGUAUAUAUAGUGAGUUUGAUGGUGGUUCAGUGGUUUGGUCAAGGCUUGUACCUCGUUUGCUAGGAUCUUAUUUUUUUGCUAGUGUGAUAUUCUAUAUCUGUUCUGUCUGGUUUGUUGUUGCCUGUUAUACCUCCAUUUUCAGGGGAGGUACUGCCGAAA